rnacentral:rRNA from 1 species
CCUACGGGAGGCAGCAGUAGGGAAUCUUUCACAAUGGGCGAAAGCCUGAUGGAGCAACGCCGCGUGCAGGAUGAAGGCCUUCGGGUUGUAAACUGCUUUUAUAAGCGAGAAAUAUGAUGGUAACUUAUGAAUAAGGAUCGGCUAACUACGUGCCAGCAGCCGCGGUCAUACGUAGGAUCCGAGCAUUAUCCGGAGUGACUGGGUGUAAAGAGUUGCGUAGGUGGCAUAAUAAGUAGCUAGGGAAAUCUGGUGGCUCAACCAUUCAGACUAUUAGCUAAACUGUUAAGCUCGAGACCGUUAGGGGUAACUGGAAUGUCUAGUGUAGGAGUGAAAUCCGUAGAUAUUAGGAGGAACACCAAUAGCGUAGGCAGGUUGCUGGGACGGUUCUGACACUAAGGCACGAAAGCGUAGGGAGCAAACGGGAUUAGAUACCCUAGUAGUC